CAGCCGCCGCGGGAAAACGUAGGUGGCGAGCGUUGUCCGGAUUUAUUGGGCGUAAAGGGAGUGUAGGCGGUCUUUUAAGUCUGAUGUGAAAGCCCACGGCUCAACCGUGGAGGGUCAUUGGAAACUGGGAGACUUGAGUGCAGAAGAGGAGAGCGGAAUUCCAUGUGUAGCGGUGAAAUGCGUAGAUAUAUGGAGGAACACCAGUGGCGAAGGCGGCUCUCUGGUCUGUAACUGACGCUGAGGAGCGAAGGCGUGGGGAGCGAACAGGAUUAGAUACCCCUGUAGUCCCUGUCUCUUAUAC
rnacentral:rRNA from 1 species